GCCCGGCUGCCUCAGUUGGAAGAGGGAGAGUGACUCUUGAUUGUGGGGUCGUGGGUUCAAACCCCACACUGGGUG
rnacentral:tRNA from 1 species